AUGGCCAUAUCACGUUGAAACACCGGUUCUUGUCAAUCACCGAAGUUAAGCAACGUCGAGCCUGGCCAGUACCUAGAUGGGUGACCAUCUGGGGAUACUAGGUGCUAUAA